AACGAACGCUGGCGGCAUGCCUAACACAUGCCAGUCGAACGAGACCUUCGGGUCUAGUGGCGCACGGGUGCGUAACGCGUGGGAACCUGCCCUUAGGUUCGGAACAACUCCCCGAAAGGGGUGCUAAUACCGGAUAGUGUCUUCGGACCAAAGAUUUAUCGCCUUUGGAUGGGCGCGGGUUGGAUUAGCUAGUUGGUAGGGUAAAAGCCUACCAAGGGCACGAUCCAUAGCUGGUCUGAGAGGAUGAUACGCCACACUGGGACUGAGACACGGCCCAGACUCCUACGGGAGGCAGCAGUAGGGAAUAUUGGACACUGGGCGAAAGCCUGAUCCAGCAAUGCCGCGUGAGUGAUGAAGGCCUUAGGGUUGUAAAGCCCUUUUACACGGGAUGAUAAUGACAGUACCGGGAGAAUAAGCUCCGGCUAACUACGUG
rnacentral:rRNA from 1 species